AUGUGCUGCUGCCCGAGCAAGGCGUGCUGCAUUUGCAUGCUCAUCAUCCUCGUGCUCAUCGCCGUCGGCCUCGUCUUCGGCUUCGGCGUCUACACCCGCGGCUUCCACAAGCUCUCCUCCAGCAUCCACCUCCAGGACGGCGCCUCCUACCGCGCCUACGGCCACCUCAACCUCGCGCCCCCGCCCGCCUACUACUAG
rnacentral:rRNA from 1 species